rnacentral:ncRNA from 1 species
UUGUUGCGACUGUAAAGCUUGUAAUUGGAUCUACGUCUCAGGAGCUAUCUAUUCAUUAGAUGCCAUUAUAGUCAACCGAUCAAAGUAACGCAGAAAAAGUUAACAAAAAUAUUGUUUCGCUUUCUAUAUUAUUACCUUUUCCUGCCUUACUUUGAUUGGUUGAGUAUGGUGGCAACAAGUCUGCUUUGAAGAAAUUAGACUGCCUAAUGCGGGAUAAUGCGUAAAUACUCGUGUACAGAAUAAUUAAAUAGAAUCUCAGUUUUGUUUUGUUCGUUUUUCAUCUGAAAUAAUGUUUAAAAGAGGGAUGGACGAGGAUAUUCGCAUCGCUACGUGAGAGGUGAAAUUUUUGGACUGUAAAAAGACAUACAAAUGCGAAGGCAUCUUGCCAAGAAUUUCUUUAUCAAUCAAGAACGAAAAUCAAAGUUCA